rnacentral:rRNA from 1 species
AUGCAUACCACCACUGCCGAGCUUCUGCUCAUAUGCGUCCUAGCUGCCACGGCCUUGCUGGCCUCCGAUGCAUUUCAGCUCGGGCCGUCCGGCGGCUCGGCCGGCGUAAGCUGCAUACCGCGGGAGCGGGACGCCCUACUGUCCUUCAAGCGCGGCAUCACCAGCGACCCCAUGGGCGUCCUUGACUCUUGGCACAAGGAAGACUGCUGUCAGUGGAGGGGCGUCAAGUGCAGCAACCGGACCGGCCAUGUCCUUAGGCUUCAGCUUCGUAAUCUGCAUACAGAUGGGUACUACAUGGUUGGCCAGAUAAGUAAUUCUUUGCUCUCCAUGGAUCGUCUUGUGCACCUUGAUCUUAGCAUGAAUUACCUCGAGGGCCCAAGUGGCCGCAUGCCGGAGUUCUUGGGCUCUUUGACAAGAUUGAGAUAUCUCAACCUCUCCGGAAUACCAUUUUAUGGCAGAGUGCCCCCUCAGCUCGGCAACCUCUCAAACCUGCAGCAUAUUGACCUCUCAUGGUGUGGUAUGUACUCGAGAGACAUUUCAUGGGUAGCACGCAUUCCUAGUUUGCAGUCUCUUGAAAUGAAUGGGGUAAACCUCAGCACAAUAGUUGAUUGGCCUUAUGUCGUCAACAUGAUCCCUUCUUUGAAGGUCCUCGGUUUUGCGGGUUGCUCUCUUCAAACCGCAAAUCAUUCACUCCCACAUAUUAACCUUACAAAACUGGAGAGGCUUCAACUCUCGGGCAACAUCUUUGCCCACCCAAUGGCACGGAGUUGGUUUUGGAAUUUGACAAGCCUCCAGCAUCUCUACCUUGCCAGAACUCAGCUAUACGGUCAAGCUCCUGAUGCACUGGCACAUAUGACAUCCCUCCAAGUCCUUGAUUUGUCAUUUAAUAAUGACAUGGGGAGGAUGACAACAAGCUUCAGAAACCUAUGCAAUCUGAGAAUCCUGGACCUUUGUGCAUGUCAAAUUGUUGGAAAUUUUAAGGAUAUUAUAGGGAGGAUGCCCCAGUGUCCCUUGAAUAAAAUGCAGGAGUUGCAUUUGAGGUACAACAAUAUUACCGGAAUCAUACCGGACCAGACAGCACACUUGACCAGCUUAGUCGUUCUUGACAUCUCUCGGAACAACCUAAGUGGAGGAAUACCACAAUGGGUGGGGUUGCUCUCUAGUUUAAGCAGCCUUGAUCUCUCUGACAAUAAUCUCAGUGGACCUGUGCCAUCUGAGAUCGGUAUGCUCUGUAACUUGACCAUGAUGGAUCUCAACAGGAACAAUUUGAUUGGUGACUUCACUGAAGAACAUUUUACAAGUCUAACGAGGCUAAAGGUGCUGCGUUUAGGUUGGAAUUCUUUGAGACUUACAUUUGGCCCCGAUUGGAUGCCACCCUUCAGUUUAGAAGAAACAUAUCUUCGCUCUUGCCAACUGGGCCCUUCAUUCCCUGCAUGGCUUCAGUUCCAGAUGGACAUUCGCUAUAUGGAUAUAUCAAGCACAGGUAUAGUUGGUAGGCUUCCUGACUGGUUCAGCACUAAAUUUGCAAAGGUCACAUAUCUGGACAUCUCCAACAAUGAAAUCAGUGGCAGGUUGCCAAGAAACAUGGAAUUCAUGUCACUGCGAUAUUUCUAUAUCAGUUCAAAUAAACUAACUGGUGAAAUCCCCAACUUACCAAGCAAUAUUACCUUCUUCGAGAUGUCUGAAAACUCUUUAUCUGGAAAUUUGCCAUCAAACAUUGGGAGGCUAGAUUUAGAAUCAUUAGCGCUGCGCUCCAAUCAAAUAACUGGUCGUAUUCCAAAAUCUCUCUGCAAAGCGGAAGCCUUGAACUCCUUGGACUUAAGCAACAAUCUUUUGGAGGGACAACUUCCUCAGUGUUUUGGGGUGAUGGACAUUGGCUUUCUCAUGUUGAGUAACAACAGAUUCUCUGGCAAUUUCCCAUCAUUUCUAAAAAGAUUGAGACAAUUGAAGUCUCUAGAUCUAUCACAUAAUAGAUUUUCCGGAAGGUUGCCAUUGUGGAUUGGAGAGUUGGCUGAACUAAGAUUUCUGGGGCUAAACCAUAAUACGUUUUCUGGAGAAAUCCCACCUACCAUCUCAAAUCUUAGUCACCUUCACCAUCUGAACCUAGCAGGCAAUGGCUUAUCAGGUGCCAUACCGUGGCAUCUGUCAAAUAUCACGGCCAUGAUAGGAAUGGACGAAAGCAAUUAUGAGAAUGAGCUAUAUUAUGUCGGUAACUUGGGUACGUACCAUACACUUGAUUUUUCCUCUGCGGUCGUCAAGGGACGAGAACUUAAUUAUAGUUCUGGCAUUUGGGAUUUGGUGAGCAUUGACCUAUCUUUCAACCAAUUAACUGGGGUAAUCCCAGAAGAAAUAGCUGCUCUUGAUGCAUUGAUAAACUUGAAUCUAUCAUGGAACCAAUUGAGUGGGAAAAUCCCAAAUAAGCUUGGGGCCUUGAAGGCUUUGGAAUCACUUGACCUCUCCAGGAACAUGCUUUCUGGUGGGAUCCCUUCGAGCCUAUCAGAUAUAACUUAUUUGAGCUACUUGGAUCUGUCUGAUAACAAUCUAACAGGAACAAUACCAUCCGGACGUCAGCUUGACACCCUCUACACACAGCAACCUUCCAUGUACAGUGGCAACAGUGGUCUUUGUGGGCUUCCUCUUCCAAUCAGUUGCCCGGGAAAGAAUGCAACAAGGAAAGAUGAUCAAAAAGGGAAUGAACAUUCCUUUGAGCCAAUGCCCUUUUAUUUUGGACUUGCUAUGGGAUUUAUUCUGGGUCUUUGGGUGGUGUUUUGCGUCUUGUUGUUUAAGAGAGCAUGGAGGAUUGCUUAUUUCAGCAUGGUUGACCAGAAAUAUGAUCAGAUGUAUGUGUUUGCCGUUCUUACAUGGAAAAGCUGGGCCAGGAAGGGGACUACAAAUUGA